rnacentral:rRNA from 1 species
UUGAACGCUGGCGGCAUGCCUUACACAUGCAAGUCGAACGGCAGCACGGGAGCAAUCCUGGUGGCGAGUGGCGAACGGGUGAGUAAUAUAUCGGAACGUGCCCAGUCGUGGGGGAUAACGUAGCGAAAGUUACGCUAAUACCGCAUACGAUCUAAGGAUGAAANCGGGGGAUCGCAAGACCUCGCGCGAUUGGAGCGGCCGAUAUCAGAUUAGGUAGUUGGUGAGGUAAAGGCUCACCAAGCCAACGAUCUGUAGCUGGUCUGAGAGGACGACCAGCCACACUGGAACUGAGACACGGUCCAGACUCCUACGGGAGGCAGCAGUGGGGAAUUUUGGACAAUGGACGCAAGUCUGAUCCAGCCAUUCCGCGUGCAGGAUGAAGGCCCUCGGGUUGUAAACUGCUUUGUACGGAACGAAAAGGUUUGUCUUAAUACGAUGAGCUCAUGACGGUACCGUAAGAAUAAGCACCGGCUAACUACGUG